UCUAACCUAAGCAACGCAAGCCCUACCUGCUCUUACGUCCUUGCGACCCUAUAAUCGCUCCAGUGUGAAUAAGCAUCUUCAAAAACAU
rfam:Amphibacillus xylanus NBRC 15112 DNA, complete genome.